rnacentral:rRNA from 3 species
ACAGUGGCUAAGACUGGAUAGGAAGAUAAAAGGCAUCUUUUAUCUUUUAAAAGACCUAGUAAUAGGUAUGCUUUAGGAGGGGCUUGCGCCAUAUUAGUUAGUUGGUAGGGUAAUGGCCUACCAAGACGAUGAUGUGUAGCUGGACUGAGAGGUUGAACAGCCACAUUGGGACUGAGACACGGCCCAAACUCCUACGGGAGGCAGCAGUAGGGAAUUUUCGGCAAUGGAGGAAACUCUGACCGAGCAACGCCGCGUGAAUGACGAAGUACUUCGGUAUGUAAAGUUCUUUUAUCAAGGAAGAAAAGCAAAUGGCGAACCAUUUGUUUGCCGGUACUUGAUGAAUAAGCCCCGGCUAAUUAUGUGCCAGCAGCCGCGGUAAGACAUAAGGGGCAAGUGUUAUCCGGAAUUAUUGGGCGUAAAGGGUGCGUAGGCGGUCUAGUAAGUCAGUGGUGUAAUGGCAACGCUUAACGUUGUCCGGCUAUUGAAACUGCUAAACUUGAGUUAGAUAGAGGCGAGUGGAAUUCCAUGUGUAGCGGUAAAAUGCGUAAAUAUAUGGAGGAACACCAGAGGCGUAGGCGGCUCGCUGGGUCUUAACUGACGCUGAGGCACGAAAGCGUGGGGAGCAAACAGGAUUAGAUACCCUGGUAGUCCACGCCGUAAACGAUGAGUACUAAGUGUCGGGUUAAACCGGUACUGAAGUUAACACAUUAAGUACUCCGCCUGAGUAGUACGUACGCAAGUAUGAAACUUAAAGGAAUUGACGGGACUCCGCACAAGCGGUGGAUCAUGUUGUUUAAUUCGAAGAUACCCGAAAAACCUUACCAGGUCUUGACAUGUUUUUGCAAAAUGAUAGUAAUAUCGUGGAGGUUACCAGAAACACAGGUGGUGCAUGGUUGUCGUCAGCUCGUGUCGUGAGAUGUUAGGUUAAGUCCUAAAACGAGCGAAACCCUUAUCGUUAGUUGCCAGCACGUUAUGGUGGGGACUUUAACGAGACUGCCAAUGAUAAAUUGGAGGAAGGUGAGGAUCACGUCAAAUCAGCAUGCCCCUUAUGACCUGGGCUACAAACGUGAUACAAUGGCUGUUACAAAGGGUAGCUGAAACGCAAGUUCUUGGCCAAUCCCCAAAAACAGUCCCAGUCCGGAUUGAAGUCUGCAACUCGACUUCAUGAAGUUGGAAUCGCUAGUAAUCGCGAAUCAGCAUGUCGCGGUGAAUACGUUCUCGGGGUUUGUACACACCGCCCGUCAAA